rnacentral:lncRNA from 1 species
GUGAAAAGACGAAAAUGCCCUUAAACGGGAUUAAGGUGCGUAAUUUUGGUAUUGGUUUUACCUAAAAUUCCUAAGUUAUUGUUAAUUAAACUUAAACUUGGACUAAUAAUUUUGUGUUUGGACUUUAGGUAGGGUCCUACACCCUAAAUCCCUCCCCAUUUCCCGUUUGUUGUCUCUCUCUCAUCUCCUCAGUCACUCUCUCUCUCUUCCUUAGCUCUUCCUCAGAAACUCUCACUCUCUCUUUUCUUCUCGAACGCACGGGCAACCACCAAAACCACCUAAAACCUAUACCAACGUCCAAGUUAAGACCACAUUUGGACUCCUGGAACUUCCACGAUCACGUAGACAUCAAUUUCAGGUAAGUUCUACUUCGGAAAACCCUAGUUUUCAAAGUACUCGUGAAAUGGUACUGUUCAUGAUCUUUUAAAUGGUUACGAUUUAGGCUAAAACAAGAUCACACAGCGAGCUUAGUGAGGUCCCAAGGAAGCUCGGAGUGCUUCGUUGGAAGUUUUUGGACGUAAGAACACGGAGAUCGACAAGUUCAAAGUUUGGCCGGAGCUUUCGAGGCGUUUUCCGGCGAAUCCUCGGCGAGUUAGGAGUCGAGGUAGGUAUCAAUCUCUUCGUCUCGUCAAGUACUACAACUUUCCUUUUUUUUUCACUCAAUUUCGUUGAGUAUUGAAGAAGUUAUACUCAUUUGAAAAAUACCCAGUUUCCGGCGACCUCCGAGGCUUUCGAGGCAGUUUCCGGCCAAACCACGGCGAACUAGGUGUUGUUCAAGGUACCAUUCUCUUUGUCUCUGCAAGGGCUACAACUUUCGUUUUUGAAUUACUUGAUUUCGUUGAGAAAUGACAAAGUUAUGGCAAUUUAAAAAACUGCCCGGAAAACGGCCGCCGGAAAAACCAGUCCGGCGACCCAAGGAAGAAGAAGGUGCUACAGUAAAAAUAAAAAAUAAAAUUAUUUUAAAAAUAUGUCGACGUCCGUGACGUCGAGUAGAUCACUGUGGUAUAUUCAUAUACCUAAAUUGAACACCGUAUGAGAAAGUUUUGAGGAUUGUUGGUUAGGUGUUCAAAUAACGUUUUAUAAUUUUCACAUUUAGGUGAAAAUGUGAAUUGAUGAUCCGACCGUUGGAUCGUCACCAAACUUUGAUACGUUGUAAUACGUAAUAUUUGAGGAUUAUUGGAACUUACGGAUUGGGAAUCCGAGUUACGGAUCUUCCGGAAUUGGAAUUGUAAGUCCAUAAUAUAAAAUGUUAACCGUCACUUAGUUUUGGAAAUUGACGGAGAUCCGACCGUUGGAUGGUAAUGAAAUUUUAGGAUGUUGUCCUAGAGGUAUAAUGUGGACCUCUGGAAGUUAUGGAUUUAAAAAAUCUGAGUGGCAGAUCUUCCGGAUCGAUCAACGUAGUGACGUAUUUUUAUAUAAGUUAUGUAUUCUAUCGAUAUGAAUUCUGAGCCUGGAUUUGAUUACUAUUCUAGGCGGCGAUCGUCAUGACGCCUUGAUGUGUGGUGCUAGGGAGUUGUUGGACGAACUCCAGGUGAGUGGGCAGUUUUGUUUUCCGUAUAUAUAUAUACUUGACGUUUCCCAGAAAUUGAAUUGAAAUGAAAAUAUGUUUAAAAUGAAAUGCAUAUGAGUUAUGUGGAAAAACGGGAAGUGAAAUACCAUGCAUAGAAUUGAUAUGAAAAGUAUAUAGAAAUGUGAGUUGAAAUGCCAUGCAUGAAUUAAUAUAUAUGAUGCAUAUGUAUGAAUUGGUGCGGUGGACGCACAUGUAAGAAUUGAUUUAUGAUGCAUAUGUAUGAAUUGGUGCGGUGGACGCACAUGUAAGAAUUGAUUUAUGAUGCAUAUGUAUGAAUUGGUGCGGUGGACGCACAGGUAAGAAUUGAUUUAUGAUGCAUAUGUAUGAAAUGGUGCGGUGGACGCACAGAUGAGUAUUUAAUUACUGUUAUGAUGAUGAUGAUAUAUAUUGAGCUCAAAUCCUGCACCAUGGUUUAGUGCUUAUAGUAUUCACCGCAUCGCACGCUCGCCUUGGAUCCAAGUAGAUGCUAGUCGUACAGUCCACGCGGAGUGGGUACGACAGACCAGUCGCGAGAGUGUUAGUGAGAUUCCGACUGGUGGGUGACCUUAGAUUAUGUGCACAGAUGAUUUAUGAGAAGCACUACUAGAGCGUAACUUGCGUGCAGAAGGCCGGACGGGUCACAGAGGUGACUCCGGUAGAGUGAUAAUGAUAGAUUUUUGAGCUCUAGGUUCAACCGUACAGGGCUAUUAGAGGGCCUACGGUUGAUUACUUUCUUGCACCUGAUAUGAUUAUGUUGAUGCAUUCAUACCUUAUUACUGUUGAGAUGAUGUGGCAUGGCAUAAUUAAUAUGAGAAAUGUUGAGAUGAUGUGGCAUGGCAUAAUUGUUAUGAAAAUGUUGAGUUAACGACUUGAAGUCUUGAGAAUAUAUAUGUAUAUUUUAUUUUUACAUUUCUGGGAAAAGUAUACAGGUUUUACGGAGAGGGGUUACAACGUUUUGAGAAAUGUUUGGAUUUGGAAAAAGAAUUGUUUUACUGACCCACUCAAUUUUGGUUUUGCGCCCCUCCAGGUUCAGGAAUCACAAAGGUGUGGUGACUACGAGGAAUUCGACGGUGUUCUGACAGAAUGGACCAAAUUAGGACGCACCUUCGGGUGUAUCAACUUAUAAAUUGUAUCUUAAAGCUUUCGUACUGUGCAAAUGGUUACGUCACUCUCACGUGACGGCCAGCAUGCCCUCCUUCGGGACGGGGUGUGUCAGUUGGUAUCAGAGCAUGGUUGCAAUCUUGGACAUUUUGAGAAGUUCUAGUGAAUUCUGUCAGAACUACACCGCCUCGUAGCAAACCACGUAGUUAGAGGAACUUAGUCUCCCCGAUUUAGCGGGUUGGGGGAAACUAUUAUUAUGGUGAUUCGGUAUAUUAUCAAAAUGGACAUUUUAAGAUGGGUAAUGAGUUGAACUUGAAUCACCUUAUGAAAUGAUGAACCUGAGGGAACGAAGUGACGGUUUAACCGUUUGGAAAAGAUGUUUCGGAAUAUGCAAGUUAAAGGAAAUUUCCUUCUGACAGGUGGGUCGAGACGACUACCUGAUUUUGGUUAUGAAUUUGUAUCCUGGUGGAAACAGGAGUAUGAAUUGUUGUCACCAGAGGAAUCAGUCGAUUGAGAAUUGUUUAAGGACUUGUUUAAAGGAAAAGUUUAUCCCUCCGGCAUUUAUCGAUGGUAGUAAACAAGAGUUUACAAAUAUGAGACAAGGAAGGUGAUGAUCGAGGGAUAUUAUAGAAAGUUUUCAGACUUGCCUCGUUGCAUCCAGAUAUUGUUGUUAAUUUGGUGGAGGUGUUAUGUUGUUUUAGCUGGGUGGCAAAAAGGGAAGUGGUAUUUUGGGUGACCACUAUCCAUUGUACUUCUUACCAGGAGUAUACAAGAUGUUGUUGAGCCUUGAGGACUCUGAGAACAUGAGCAACGAGAAUAAAGAAGAAUAAGAAAAGAAUAGGAAUUAAAAGAAGACGAUAAAGUUAAUGAUUCGUCAUAUCAAGGAUAUAGAAAGAUUCAGAGCUUCGAAAGAAGUGAAGCUAGAGUUAAUUUUUCCAGCUGAGGUUUUAAUGUCGCUGGUCAGAAUAAAAGUGAUGGAUAUACUGGUAAUCCCCGAUAUUUGAGACAAGGUGUCUCGAGUAAAGGAAAUGUACCUUGUGCAGCAGGUACAAAAUUAACACUUUGGGAAGUGUGAAAUUAAUGAAUGUGUUUAUGUGAACAGAGGGGACACAGAAUUGUGAAUCGUCCCUAGAAUCAGUUGUACACAACAGUUUUCUAUGACAUCAUAGUGUUGAUUCAGCAGAGUUAUGGAUUUAGUAGUUUGGUCGGAUUGACCGUGAGUACAGAGAGAUUUGAUGAGUUAUAUGUUCAGCCGUACAGACCAUGAGAAGUGGAUUCGAUUGACACAUGAGAAAUUGGUGAGUUAUAGGCUCGGCCGUACCGACCACGCGGAGUGGAUCCGGCCGACGUAUUAUUGAGAUAAGAGUUGAAUCAACCGUAUUGGUCAUUCUAGUUGACUUCGGCUGAUAUAUUUCUUAUUAUGUAUGUUAUUACCUAGAGAGUAGUAAAUAAAUGUAGUUGAGACGAGUGUAUGUAUUUUGCAUUGAGUAACAAAAUAGUAAUGUUAUAUCUUUGAGAGUGGUUGCCUACUUAUCGAGACAACGAUGAUUUAUCAGUAUUGCGGGCUGCAGACCGUAAUAUUAAUAACUCAUUCGUGGAUUCGUUAAGCAAGCAACCCGGUAGAUUAUUUUAUGUUAGUAUUGUACUUAUUUAGAAUGCUUAAUAAUAAUAGAAUAUAUAUUGUAUCAGUUAAUUCUGUUCCAUUAGAUUGGUUGGUUAUAAUUGUGACAAGACGGAAUGUUACGGGAAACCAGUACUUUCCAUCGAUCUGGAUGAACAGAGAUUACUUUUGUAAGUAUGCAAAAUGGAUUGAGUUAGGCUGUUAUUUAUGCUAUGAGAGCAAGGAGAUUGUUUUCGAAAGGCUGUCAAAAAUACUUAGCUCAUGUGGUGCUAAAUGAUGUUGUUUGGAGUAGUGUGAAUAAUGUCGAAAGAGUUAGACUUUUCUUGAUGUCUUCCUUGAAAGUAUACCUAGAUUGCCUUCAGGCAGAGAUAUGAGGUUCAUUAUUGAUUUGUUGCCAGGUAUAAAUUUAUAUUGGAGAUUGGUUCAGGAUGAGUUAAGGGAAUUGGAAAUUCAGUUGAGAGAAUUGGUUGAUAAAAGUUUUAUUCAACCUAGUACAACACUUUUGAGGAGCCCAGUUUGUUGGGUGAGGAAGAAAAAUGGAUCUUGAGACUGUUCAUUGAUUAUAGACAAUGGAGUCGGGUAACGAUUGAGAACCGUUAUCCAUGGUGAUGUACUGAUGUUUAUUUAACCAGCUCAUAAGUAAUUGCGAAGAUUCAAAGAUUGAAUUGAGAUCUGGUUACUACCAAUUAAAUAUUAUAAGUGACAUUGAUCAUAAGAUGGUUUUCUGGACUCGUUAUAGUCUUUAUGAAGUUUGGUGAUGCUAUAUGGAUACUCAUGCUGUUUUAUGAGUUAUUGGAUGAAGUAUUCCAAUAAUGCCUUGAUAAAUAGAUAUCAUUUUCAUUGAAGAUAUUCUGGUAUACUCUAAGCCUAGAGCAGAGCAUGUAAACGUAUUAAGUCGGUGAAGCAAAGAUUAAGAGAACGUUGGUUGUAUGCUAAGUUUAGCAAAUGCGAAUGUUGGAUGAAUCAAGUGGCAUUCUGAGAUUGGUUAUAUCUGCUUAAGGUAUUCAAAUGAAUUCUUAAAAGGCAGCAGAAUUGAGAAAUUGGAACAACCACAAGCCAUAAUUGAGAUUCGGAAAUUCUUAACUUAUCAGGCUAUUUUGGAUGGUUGUGAAAGAAUUUUUAGUCAUUGUUUUGUCAUUGAUGAGACUGUUGAGAAAGGAGGUUAUGUAUGAGUGGGAAGGAAAUUGUGAGCAAAGGAUUCAACAACUGAAGUAUUUCCUCACUCAUGCACGUAUUUUAGUAAUCCCAGAGAAUAAUGGUAAUCAUAAAUUUUUAGUGAUGUUUCUUGAAUGGUAUUGGAUGCAUGUUGAUGCAAAUGUUAGGGUGAUUGCAUACGUUUCACGAUAAAAGGAAUCUCAUAAGAUGAAUUACCCUACUGGUGAUUUGGAAGUCACGAUUACCAUUCUUGCUGUGAAGUUAUGGAGACAUUAUAUUUUAGUGGGAAUGCAAGAUUUUUUUUUUACGAAUCCAAAAAGUCUUCAAUAUCCAUUACUUGGAAGGAAUUUGAUAUGAGGCAGCGAAAGUGAAUUGUAUUGCUUAAUGAACAUGAUUGUACGAUCAGGGUGAUCGUAAAGUUUGUUCUAGCUGAAGCACUUGGUGAGAAGACUACAGUAAGAUUAAUAUCUGGCGCCAAGAGUAUCAUUUUGUGGAUUGAAAACCAACGGAAGAAAAAUUAAGAAUGGAAGAUCGAGAAGAAGUUAUACUUGUUAAGUAACAAGUUAGUACAUUUACCCCAAUGUUGAGUAACAACCUUUCCCAGACAGUGCAACACUACUUAUUUGUUUUAUGGAAAAGAGAAUUGGAUUACGGAACUGCUAAGUUUCUUAAGUAUGUUGGUUGUGCAGUUUCCGAAGUAACGCCAUAAGGACCAUGAAAUGUGUCACGUGAGUCGGUUUUUGAUGACUUGUGAAUGGAAUGUUUCUGGGUAGAGAAAGAUUCGAUCGAGAAAGAGUUUUAGUAGACCCUGAGACUAUGGAUGAGUCUCCUCAAAGUAUUCAGGUGAUUAAGUUAACCUGAAGUAACCAGGAAUGGCAAAAGAGAUCAACAGAUGGAUAUGCCACUAAUCGAGUGUGUAAGGUAAAUGGUUUGAUAUUUUUGGAAAAUUCACCACGAACAGAAAUGAAGAGAAUUGGAAAAGAGACAAGAUAAGAUUUAAACACAUCAGACCGUUUUGAUCAUUAAAAGAAUCAAUGAAGUUGCAUAUAAGUUUGUGAUGCCUUCAAAAUUGGCUAAGGUGCAUAAUGCAUUAUAUUUCGAUGCGUUGUCACUAGGUGGCAGAUUCGUCACAUGGGAUUCUGGUGCAACUAUUUAGAAUUCAAUUGGAUUCGACUUGAUAAGGAACCAAGGACUACUUUGGAUUGGGAAAAGAAGGUCCUGAGAAUUAAGACAGAGUAAGUGGUAAAAGCUUUGUGAAGGAAAUCAUUCAGUAGAAAAUUAUGUGGGAGAAAGAGAAACGGAUGAGAGAGAUUUACCCGAAGCUAUUGUUGGAGUAUGGUUGAUUUAGUUGAUUGCUGGAAUUUCGGGGACGAAAUUCUAUAACGAGGGAAGAUUGUCACAGCCCGUCCUGGAAUUUUAAUUCCGAGGACGUGAAAAGACGAAAAUGCCCUUAAACGGGAUUAAGGUGCGUAAUUUUGGUAUUGGUUUUACCUAAAAUUCCUAAGUUAUUGUUAAUUAAACUUAAACUUGGACUAAUAAUUUUGUGUUUGGACUUUAGGUAGGGUCCUACACCCUAAAUCCCUCCCCAUUUCCCGUUUGUUGUCUCUCUCUCAUCUCCUCAGUCACUCUCUCUCUCUUCCUUAGCUCUUCCUCAGAAACUCUCACUCUCUCUUUUCUUCUCGAACGCACGGGCAACCACCAAAACCACCUAAAACCUAUACCAACGUCCAAGUUAAGACCACAUUUGGACUCCUGGAACUUCCACGAUCACGUAGACAUCAAUUUCAGGUAAGUUCUACUUCGGAAAACCCUAGUUUUCAAAGUACUCGUGAAAUGGUACUGUUCAUGAUCUUUUAAAUGGUUACGAUUUAGGCUAAAACAAGAUCACAGCGAGCUUAGUGAGGUCCCAAGGAAGCUCGGAGUG